AGACAACCAUGGGUUUUUUUCCUGGAUACUUCUUUAAAUUAACUCUUCAGGAUUCAAUAGCAAUGUUAUGAUACUGAUAUCUGACAGUGAAAGGACUUUCAUUCCCUGCAAGUGAAUAAGGCCUUAUGGCUGAGAAUGAGGAGAAGAAAACUAAUGCUGUUUGAAACUAUCCUGUGAUUGCCCUGAAGAGGAUAAGUCUACAUGCAUAUGCCAGCCUGGACAGUUUUCUUCACAUUUCAAGUUACCAAGCAAAUUCAAGGAGUAUCACAAGGCAAACGUGAAACAUUUCAGCACUUCUUAAAGAUGUGAAUUAAUAAGCAGAAGCCUGAUGAUAGACAAAAAUUUAUUAUCUUCAGAGGGAAGAGCUAAGGCAUGUAGAAGUUAUAUGCUAAAAUACAACUUCACCAAGAGCUCACAGCAGCAUCCUGCAGCACCUCGGAUGGAAGAGUCCUACCAUAUGGAAAUUCUGUCCUGUAUGUAUCUGAGUGGGUAGAGACAGAAAAAAAUAUAUUGCAAUAAUGAUUAUACCUGGGAAUGCACAGAAAGGAGAGCAAGAUGUUGCUGUGCCAGAGGCUUACCCCGAUCAGGACACUGUGUUUUACUGGAGUGUCUGUGGGUUGCCUGAGAUGGGAGAGCAGAGAUUCUCCUAGGAAGCGGAAGAACAAAUGCUCUGGUGGUACAGGAGGAGUUCGUCUCGCAGUACAUCCACAAGUGAGUUAACAAGGGGAAGUGUUUCAGGACCCUGCAGGUACAAAAUCCAGCAGCAGAGUUCAACAAAUCAUUAUGGGGAAAGAAAAAUGCAAUAUACCUUAAUAGUGAAUACCUGUCCCUGGAACAAAAGUGGGCCUGGAAUGACACCUUUCCCUCCCUAGUACAGAGAUCUGAAGAAGAUCUUGCUGAAGUGCUUGCCUUUCCUGCCCCAUCCACCCCAGCUGCUUGAGCACGUCCUUGGUCAACCGCAGCCCAUUGGACUGCCUUGGCCGCUGGAGGGCACCAAAAAGAAACGCAGCAUCCAAGCUAACAGUAACCCUAGGCUGGCUGUGUCUGUGCAGGGCUGAAGGCAGGAGGGCCUGCGGGGUGCGGGGGGUCUGCAGGAGGGCUUGGACCCUGCUUCCCUAUAGCUGCCCAAGAGGGAAACAAGGCAUUGUUUCACAUCCCUCUAACUGCAUUAUCAUCUCAUGGAGGUUUACAUAUUCCAAAUCAAAUUCGCAACAUAAAUGGAAUUUAGGGAGGUAAUUGUCUUGUUUCCAAACCAAAAAUACACGAAAAAGUGAUGAAAAUUUGUGUUUGCUUUCAAAUGUCAAUGUACUUAACAGUAAUGAUGUUUAAAAUCUGAGUUAUAACAGAAUCAAAGGGCAGUGUGUUUCCCCUCCAGCCAUAUGCUUUUGAAGGUUUAGAAAAAGCUUUUGUUAAGAGUUUCUCCUUCAGCCAUAUCUGUAAGUGGAAGCAAAUUUCUAUGCCUGUGAAAGCUAGGCAGGGGACAUUCUGACCUUA